rnacentral:rRNA from 1 species
GUAGGUGACGAGCGUUAUCCGGAAUUAUUGGGCGUAAAGCGCACGCAAGCGGUUGGUCAAGUCUGACGUGAAAUCUCCUGGCUUAACUGGGAGCGGUCGUUGGAAACUGACCAGCUUGAGGCGAUGAGAGGGGUGCAGAAUUCCUGGUGUAGUGGUGGAAUGCGUAGAGAUCAGGAGGAAUACCUGUGGCGAAAGCGGCACCCUGGCGUCGUUCUGACGCUCAUGUGCGAAAGCGUGGGGAGCGAACGGGAUUAGAUACCCCGGUAGUCCACGCUGUAAACGAUGAACACUAGGUGUAGGCGGUGUCAAAGCCGUCUGUGCCAAAGCCAACGCGUUAAGUGUUCCGCCUGGGAAGUACGGCCGCAAGGCUAAA